GGUUAAAAAGCUCGUAGUUGGAUUUCUGUCGGUGAGGUUGAGUCCGCCCAAGUGGUUGGUACUUCAUCCGCCACCGGCAUCUUCCUGGGGAAUGUGUCUGCUCUUAAUUGGGUGGUACAUAAGCCAGGACUUUUACUUUGAAGAAAUGAGAGUGUUUCAAGCAGGCAUGCGCCGUGAAUAUGUUAGCAUGGGAUAAUAGCAUCGGACCUCGUUCCAAAGCUGUUGGUUUCUUGGACCGAGGUAAAGGUGAAUAGGGAUUGUUGGGGGCAUUCGUAUUUGACUGUCAGAGGUGAAAUUCUUGGAUUUGUUGAAGACGGACUACUGCGAAAGCAUCUGCCAAAGAUGUUCUCAUUGAUCAAGAACGAAAGUUAGGUGAUCGAAGACGAUCAGAUACCGUCCUAGUCUUAACCAUAAACUAUGCCGACUGGAGAUCGGGGGUCGUUAAUUAUGUGACGCCCUCUGCAUCUUGAGAGAAAUCAAAGUCUUUGGGUUCCGGGGGGAGUAUGG
rnacentral:rRNA from 1 species